rnacentral:tRNA from 1 species
GCGAUCUAGACAAAACAAGUCCACCGUGGGCUUUGAAAAACGCUUUCCUUGAUAAAAUUUAAGCGUUUUAUAAGAGGAUGCCGGGGAAGGUUUUCCGGUUUAUCCCGGAGGGCUUGUAGCUCAGUUGGUUAGAGCGCGCGCUUGAUAAGCGUGAGGUCGGAGGUUCAAGUCCUCCCAGGCCCACCAGUUUAUCCAUUACUUUCAUAAGUGCUUUUAAAAAAUAAGUACUUCUAAAAAGAUUGCUUCUAAAAAGAUUGCUUCUAAAAAGAUUGCUUCUAAAAAGAUUGCUUCUAAAAAGCUUAUCAAAAUUGGCAGGCUUAUUGCUUUUGUGUGAGUAAUCCAAAGUUAAAGCAAAUUAAUGGCAAAAAAACAGUUCAAAUGCUAAAUACUAAGGAGUCAAAAUUCCUUGCAAAGUGAUUUUUACAGCGUCCAUUUGGUUGAUAUAAAUUCCAAAUGCUCAUAGACGUCAAUGCCUAUAUGAAACUAUCGGUUCAAUCAUAUCGCUUUGAGUUAUAUAGAUUUUGUAAUCCCUCUUUUGAUCGUUUUAAACGCUUUAUCCUGAUUUAGGGGCCGUAGCUCAGCUGGGAGAGCACCUGCUUUGCAAGCAGGGGGUCGUCGGUUCGAUCCCGUCCGGCUCCACCAUA